rnacentral:rRNA from 1 species
CCUACGGGCGGCAGCAGUGAGGAAUAUUGGUCAAUGGACGAGAGUCUGAACCAGCCAAGUAGCGUGAAGGAUGACUGCCCUAUGGGUUGUAAACUUCUUUUAUAUGGGAAUAAAACGUUCCACGUGUGGGAUUUUGUAUGUACCAUAUGAAUAAGGAUCGGCUAACUCCGUGCCAGCAGCCGCGGUAAUACGGAGGAUCCGAGCGUUAUCCGGAUUUAUUGGGUUUAAAGGGAGCGUAGGUGGAUUUGUAAGUCAGUUGUGAAAGUUUGCGGCUCAACCGUAAAAUUGCAGUUGAAACUGGCAGUCUUGAGUACAGUAGAGGUGGGCGGAAUUCGUGGUGUAGCGGUGAAAUGCUUAGAUAUCACGAAGAACUCCGAUUGCGAAGGCAGUUCACUGGACUGCAACUGACACUGAGGCUCGAAAGUGUGGGUAUCAAACAGGAUUAGAUACCCCUGUAGUC